AUUGAACGCUGGCGGCAUGCUUUACACAUGCAAGUCGAACGGUAACAGGCCUUCGGGUGCUGACGAGUGGCGAACGGGUGAGUAAUGCAUCGGAACGUGCCCAAUCGUGGGGGAUAACGUAGCGAAAGUUACGCUAAUACCGCAUAAGCCCUGAGGGGGAAAGUGGGGACCGCAAGGCCUCACGCGAAUGGAGCGGCCGAUGUCAGAUUAGCUAGUUGGUGGGGUAAAGGCCCACCAAGGCGACGAUCUGUAGCGGGUCUGAGAGGAUGAUCCGCCACACUGGGACUGAGACACGGCCCAGACUCCUACGGGAGGCAGCAGUGGGGAAUUUUGGACAAUGGGCGCAAGCCUGAUCCAGCCAUGCCGCGUGCGGGACGAAGGCCUGGU
rnacentral:rRNA from 1 species